GCAAGUCGAGGGGUAACAGGGAUUAGUUUACUAAUUUGCUGACGACCGGCGCACGGGUGCGUAACGCGUAUAGAACCUACCUUUUACAGAGGGAUAGCCCAGAGAAAUUUGGAUUAAUACCUCAUAGUAUUAUAAAUCGGCAUCGAUUAAUAAUUAAACAUUUAUGGGUAAAAGAUGGCUAUGCGUUCUAUUAGCUAGUAGGUAAGGUAAAGGCUUACCUAGGCGACGAUAGGUAGGGGCCCUGAGAGGGGGAUC
rnacentral:rRNA from 1 species